UCCGUAGGCGGGCAAUUAAGUCAGAGGUGAAAUCCCACAGCUCAACUGUGGAACUGCAUUUGAUACUGGUUGUCUUGAGUUAUAGUGAAGUAGAUAGAAUAUGUAGUGUAGCGGUGAAAUGCAUAGAUAUUACAUAGAAUACCGAUUGCGAAGGCAGUCUACUAACUGUAUACUGACGCUAAUGGACGAAAGCGUGGGGAGCGAACAGGAUUAGAUACCCUGGUAGUCC
rnacentral:rRNA from 1 species